ensembl:lncRNA
CAGGGACUGAGAUUGGCUGGAAAGGAGAGGAUGGGCGAGGAGAGGAUGGGAGAGGAAAGGAGAGGAGAAGAAAGAGGAGAGGAGCGGAAAUCUGAACACAGGUCACAUCUAGACAGCGUGCAAGUCAGAGGUAAAGCUAGAAAAAAAUGACAGGAGGAAAGAAUAAAGACAAAUGGGUGAUUGGGACCCAGAUGGGGAAAUGACCAACUGUUUGGUAAGGAUAGGCAAUGUGCAUAAAAAAGAUGGUUUCCCUGUGUGACUAAGAGGAUAGGGAUUAAAGAGAUAAGAGUGAAAGGGAAAGGAGGGAAAGAGGAAAGAGAAGGAGACAAAGUAAUCAGCACACAAGCGCAGAUCUAAAUGCUUAGAAAAUCACCAGGCUGAGCCAGAAGAGCCACAGCCAUACCCAAGAGGGGACCAUCAGAAAGACAGAAGCAGGCAAUUUAAGCAGCUAGCCACUGGGGUAGAAAAAAAAAUGAAAAGAAAAAAUAGAAGAUGGAAAAGGUGAGAAGCAGGAGAGGAAAAGCCCAAAGGAGACACUGGCCCAGAAACCUUUUUAACUUUCUGUAAGAAUCUUUAAGGCCCCAAACUAGGCCAGGAUUCUGACUGACAUUUCUGAGCUCACCAGCUGCUGUUUCCUUGGGAGGAUUCUGACAGGAUGGCAUAGAAAUUCAAGCCAACACCGCCAGCCCUGGAAAUAAAUAAAUAACACUCUACUAAACAUGUCAAUGGGGACAGAAGCCUGCGGGAAGAAAGCCCACAGAGAAGGAGGGACCUGCCUGCGACUCUCCCCAGAGGUCUGAGUCCAAACCCAAAGGGAGUUGAACUCUCAGAGGGCAGUGCUGAGCUGAGGAGACCCCACAUGGCCCAAAGUUGUGCCUCACCCACCAAAGAGCUUCUGAGGAAGGGAGAAGGAUGAGGGUUGUCCUUCCUUCGCUGAGCUCCAGCCCCAAGAUGGCUUCAUGUCCUCUGGAGGCCCUGCCUCCUUGUUUUUAGGGCCUGGACGAGGGACAGUGGACUCUCCAAAGUAUCUGCUCUCGAGGCUGCAUCACCUCACGAGGGAACUGCCCCCUGCUCUGGCUGGUCAAACGGAACCAAGUCCGUCUUCCUGAGAGGUUUGGUCCCCUUCAACCAGCUACAGCAGGGCUGGCAAUGCCCAGUCCUUCGAGAAACAGAAGAGACUCACCUGUGGCUGAAAUUACCUGCUAAAACUUUUCAUGUAAAAACAACUCUCAUUUGGUCAUCAUAUCUGCAUGCUCCCAAGGAAGGCAGAAAAGAGAAGCCCUAGGUUCAAAUGAGAGCAAGGUGCUCAACACACAGAUCUUUUGCACCCACAAGCAGAGCCACACGUGAACUUGACACACACAGUGAGUAAUGGCUUUCACGAUGGAGUUUGUGCAGGCCUGGCCAGCCAGGGGAAGACACUCAGACAUCGAAGGCAGGGCUGUCAGUGACCUAGGUAAAGAAAUUGACUUUAACUAUGGCACAAUUCAAUGUAACUGCAAGUCAGAAUAUGGCUAGUUCCAAGACGUGAUUCUUAAAUAGCGCACCAAGUACACCUAGGACAUAUUUGUUUCAGUUAACUUCAAAUAACCCUUUGUUUUCUCAUCUGUAAAAUAGGGACAAUGACACCUACUUCAAAGUAGCUAUAAGAUUUUUUAAAAGCUAAGAGUCAAAUAUAAGCCCUCAAGAAAUGGCAGCUGCUGUCAUUGUGCUGUUGUAAAUGGCAGUAACAUGAGGACAAGGCUUUGUCCAGGGGUAUUCAUAUCUGGAAGGGGAAGGCCAAAUUUUUUAAAAAUAGAAGUACUCAAAAAAAUAAAACUUUAUUUUAGGUUAUUUUUAUUCCAACCAUUAAUUCUACUAGCAUGCAAAAUGUGUUCCUCCUAGUCUGUCCUAUUAGAAUAUAACAAGUUUUACUAAGACCGGCUGCAUACAUGAGACGGCCAUUGCUAUCUGAAAUAUCUGAUCUGAGAAGCCUUCUUUAAUAAGUGCUCUUAUGAUCUAGUCCAUAACCACACCUCCUCCUGUAUUAGAAAGCCAUGGAGUAUGUGCCCUGUAGUCAAUCCAGAGUGGAGGUUAGAUGUGUGUGCUGGAACUAGACUGCCUGGGCUCAAAUCCCUAUUUACCAGCUGUGCUACCUUGGGCAAGUUGCUUGACCUCUCUGGACCUGUGCUUUCUCAUCAGCAAAGUGGGAACACUGAUAACAGUAUCUACCUUGUAGGGUAUUCAUGGAAAUGAAAUGAAAAUACAUGUAAAGGCCUAAAACUAGUAUUGGGUACACAAUAAGUUCUCGAGAGGUUUUAUCUUUGGCAAUGUUCCUGAAGCUAAAUUGAUGUUCAAUAAAAACUUCUUAAUAAA